AGUGAACGCUGGCGGUAGGCCUAACACAUGCAAGUCGAACGGCAGCACAGUAAGAGCUUGCUCUUACGGGUGGCGAGUGGCGGACGGGUGAGGAAUACAUCGGAAUCUACUUUUUCGUGGGGGAUAACGUAGGGAAACUUACGCUAAUACCGCAUACGACCUACGGGUGAAAGCAGGGGAUCUUCGGACCUUGCGCGAUUGAAUGAGCCGAUGUCGGAUUAGCUAGUUGGCGGGGUAAAGGCCCACCAAGGCGACGAUCCGUAGCUGGUCUGAGAGGAUGAUCAGCCACACUGGAACUGAGACACGGUCCAGACUCCUACGGGAGGCAGCAGUGGGGAAUAUUGGACAAUGGGCGCAAGCCUGAUCCAGCCAUACCGCGUUGGUGAAGAAGGCCUUCGGGUUGUAAAGCCCUUUUGUUGGGAAAGAAAAGCAGCAGGUUAAUACCCCGCUGUUCUGACGGUACCCAAGGAAUAAGCACCGGCUAACUUCGU
rnacentral:rRNA from 1 species